UGCUUGCUUCUCGUCCGCCAUAUUUCGUCCUGCCAGUAUUUUGAGGGAGGAGAAGCAGUUUAUAUCCACAUACGUUGAAUUGAGUUUUUUAUAUUAGGCAAGUUGGGGAACCAACUAAGAGCUAUUCCGGUCCCCAGGUUAUUAUUCCUGGAAGAUAGUAGUCACAGUAUAACACUUCUUUGCACGCAGCCGUACCAACAAGCAGUCAGUCACAGGAAUCAGUGUGAUUGGUUACCGGGCCAGGGUACAGAAACGUCGCGGUUGGAACUUUCCUUCCCUUUGAGUCUGUACUCCAAGCGUCUAGGUUGGCAGGGAGUGUAGUUGUCCGAACAGAACCCUGGCGGAAGAGACGGAAAGGUUUGAAAAAGUUACAGUAUCUACAUCCUGAAAUACUGACCAGAAGCCAAAGAAAUGAAUAAAUCAUUACUUAACAACCUAGAAUUAAAUACACAGAAAGAAAAAAAGCUGUAAGGUCAAAGUUUUGACAAAAAUGUAAGGACGCUUAAGCGCCGCCCACGCUCUUCUUGCUGCGCAACAGCUCUGUUUCAAGGACCUCCAUGACCCCUCUAGUGGUGACAGUGUCCCUCCUGCUCCAAAAAAUGGGCCAAACGAUCGGAUUACAGCAAAGGAAAUGCACCAACGGUAUGAGGACCACAUCAACUCAGAAGAUGGUUGCUCAGAAUAAAAUGAAUUUGGCUUCCAGCAAGGCCUAGAACUGUCUAAGAACAGUUCUACAGAGCCAUUAGACGAAUGGCCCAAGGAAGCCCGCAGGUUGACUUUCAGGUUUUACAUAACCUGCGGCAAAAAUUCCCAGAGGUGCCUGAAGUUGUUGUUUCCCGAUGCAUGCAGCAGAAUAACAACAACUUGGAUGCUUGUUGUGCUGUACUGUCUCAAGAAAGUACAAAAUAUUUGUAUGGAGAAGGAGACUUAUCUCUUUCAGAUGAUCCUCGAAUUGCGAGCUUAAGAAAUCACAUGACUUCUCUGAAUUUGGAUUUGCAGUCACAAAACGUGUACCUUGAUGGAAGGGACGGCACUAGGAUGAAUGGAAACAGCAGGACUCUAACUCACAGUAUAAGUGAUGGGCAUCUUCAGGGAGUUCAGUCCAGCAAUGAACUGUAUGAACCCGAACCACAAACUGCACCUGCUCAUGUUCCUGCUAGCUUUAAUGUCUUUGGAAUGGCCAAUACCAUUAGUUCUUCAAAUCAUGGACAUCAGUUUGGGCUACAUUUAGGUAGCAAAUGGUCAUCUGCUUCACAGACACCACGGUUUAACCCUAUAAUGGUGACAUUGGCACCAAAUAUCCAGCCUAGUCGUAAUACUCCAACAUCAUUGCACAUUCAUGGUGUUCCUCCACCAGUUCUUAAUAGUCCACAUGGAAACUCUAUCUAUAUUAGGCCUUAUGUUACUUCUCAGAGUGGUACAUCUCGACAGGCACAACAGACACCAAGUUGGGUGUCUCAUAAUCCAACACAACCACAGCAGAUUUAUCAGCCACCGCAGCCAAACCCAUGGACAACUCUUCCUACUUAUUCUACACCACAUACCUCAUUGCAACAGCCAUCCCAGUCUAGUAUUCAAGGCCACCAAACCUCUCAUGUCUAUAUGCCCAUAAGUUCUCCAACAACUCCUCAAGCACCCAUGCUUCAUUCAUCUGGCAACAGUUCCCAACCAUCCACACAGUAUAAUAUUCAAAAUAUCUCAACAGGUCCCAGGAAAAACCAAAUUGAAAUAAAGCUUGAACCACCGCAGAGGAGUAAUUCAUCAAUGUUACGACCUGCGUGUUCACGCAGUUCAGCGAACCCUGCCUCUAUUAACAAUCACACCAGAAACCAACCCACUGUUUACAUAGCAAGCCCUCCAAGCACAGAUGAAAUGAUCUGUCGUAAUCAGCCUAAGGUCUACAUUUCUGCCAAUGCUCAAAGUGUUGAUGACCAGGUAAUCAGGAACUCGCCUACAGUUUUCAUAUCUGCAAACCCUGGGGCAACAACUACAUCCAGGAAUAUGUCUGGUCAAGUAAGCAUGGGUCCUGCUUUUAUCCACCACCACCCUCCCAAAAGCCGAGCACAUGGUAACAGCACAUCAGCCACAUCUCCACGUGUGGUGGUAACUCAACCCAACACAAAAUAUACUUUUAAAAUAACUGUAUCCCCUAAUAAACCUCCUGCAGUUUCUCCAGGGGUAGUCUCUCCAACUUUUGAGCCUACAAAUUUGCUUAACCUUACUGAUCCAUUUGCAGAAUCAGAAGGUAUGCAGCAUCUUACAGACCCUAUUUUAGCAUCUGAUAAAAUAAGUGAAGCACGAAAAUUAAGCGCGGGAUCGGAUGAUGCAGCAUAUACACAAGCUUUACUGGUACAUCAGAAGGCAAGAAUGGAACGACUACAUCGUGAACUUGAUGUGCAAAAGAAAAAACUUGACCUGCUGAAGACAGAGGUCAAUGAAAUGGAAAACAAUCUAACAAAAAGGCGCCUAAAUAGAUCAAAUUCUCUUUCACAAAUUCCUUCACUGGAAGAAAUGCAGCAGUUAAGGAGCUGCAAUCGUCAGCUGCAGAUUGAUAUUGACUGUCUAACCAAAGAAAUAGAUCUUUUUCAGGCAAGAGGACCACUCUUCAAUCCUAGUGCAAUUCAUAACUUUUAUGAUAAUAUUGGAUUUCUUGGUCCUGUGCCUCCAAAACCAAAAGAUCAGAGAUCUGCCAGCAAAACGCCAAAGAAUACUUCAGAUAUGGAGGAAGAUGAGGGAGCUCAUUGGAAUUGCACUGCAUGUACUUUUCUAAACCACCCUGCCUUAAACCGUUGUGAACAGUGCGACAUGCCUAGGCAUUUCUGAACCAGUUGGUCCUUAAAAUAUUUGCAUUGGAAUCUCCAAAGGAGAAAGCUAAAGAAAACUUCCCAGCUAAAGAAAACCUUUCAGCUGUAACUCUGUUGUGGAUAGUAGGAUUACAUAAAUCUGAAAGUGUGGCCUUUUGGUGUUUUGCUUCUGGUAAAAGUCAUCCCACAGUGAAAAUAAUACCUCAAUGUUGUGAUAUGCGCAGUUGACUUCCCCCUGCUUUUUUAGUUAUUAUUGUGUAACUUGUUCCCUUUUAAUCAUUUGGUCACUGAAAAGCUGAUAAACUUAUUUCUCAGAUUCCUGUACCAUGUACAGUAUUACGUUCAACUUGGUAAGAAUAAUUUUUACAGUUUAAAAUUUUGGGGGCUGUUGUCAACAUCAUUAUUAUAAUGUUUUGCAUGAUUGAAGCAAUAAAGUUGGCCAUAUGGAUCAAGAAAUGGGACCUAAAAAACAAGCCAGAAAACCCCAAGAAAUUGCAGUUUGCGGUCUUUUGGAUAAAGAACAGAUUUUACAGAUAAAGUGGUUCCUCGUGGGAACAUCUUUUGCCUUGUGAAGCAAGAAAGCAGUGCAAUCAAGUAGAAGAAGAAAAAAAAAAAGAACUGCAUGCAUUUAUAAUAAAGUGGAAUUACUCAGUGGCUUCUUCAUUUGUACAUAGCUCUAAAAACUUCUUUAAGUAAAUUGUUUUUGAUUGUUUCACUUUUAUUAAUUUCCUGUAAUUUGUAUGUAUAUUGUAAUAGGUUUUUUUUGUUAACCUUUCGUUUAAAUUUAAUUUUAGCUCAGUCAGUUUUAUGUUCUUGUUUUGUUUUUUCCUUUCUUUGAAGAGUCGGUGCCUUAAGAUACAAGCUUUCUCCAUCAGCAGAGUUGCAGCCUUCCAUUCACUUUAUUCGGAAACCAAUGCCCUGAGCUGGACACUUUUCAUCCCGAAUAUAGAUUGAGUGCUCCCAGGAAAUGGAGCAAUUACUGGCAGAAGUAAAGACAGCAGCAGAAAGGAAUGGAGGAGAUUGGUUGCGAAAAAUAUUGCAAAUGCAACCGACCGCAGAACAAGGAACAGCCGGCGAAUCCAUUAGGGGCAGGAGAAACAGGAGAACACGGCCUCCGGAACGCCAUAGCGUUAGUCCUGCGAGAACUGCCAAGUGCACGAAAAGAUCGCAGGGAGAUCAUAGACGUUCCCCUUCACCUAACAGGCCGCAGACACGCUCCAGGGGCAGACACCGGCAGGAGCACCAUGCAGGGAAUGGAGCACAGGAUCUGAGGCAGGCACAACCCCCAUCCAGAAGGAGCAGCAUCAGCCUUAUCCCUGAAUUCAGUGUCAGGAGUGUUGCGUCCACUUCUAGAACCAGGAGACGAGCAGCCAUGGUGCAAAUCGCAUCAAUAUGGGUGCAUUCCAGCAAGAAGGGAAUCAGGAUUUGCAGGCAAAUAACCUUUUACAGCAACAACAGCGAAGCCCAUUAAGGUGCUCUCCAGGCAUGGGUGAGUAUCAGCCUGAAAGGGCAUGGCAGUCAGAACAAUUAUCGGGUGAAAAUUAUAAUGUUAUGAAUAUGCUACAUUCGAUUAUGGAGAGACUACAACAUCAGUCAAUUGUGCCUUCACAACAUAAUAGGUCAGAAGAUCAUAUGUCCACAGUUGGCAGUAGCUGGUCACCCCAUAAGGAAAGGUCAAAGCAUAUAUCACCUAGUGUUGGCUGCUAUGGCGCCUUUCCUAAUUUACAUCAGUUAUGUGAAUCUGCGCCAUUAGGAUUACACUUGGAUGAGGCAACAAAGUCUAAGAUUUGGGAAGGUCGGUUUGUUGAUGUAUUUAACCUUGUACAGCCUGAAAAGGAAUCUAUUGAUAAAUCAUAUAGAAGGGUUGGUGAUAGCAAUGAGAAGUUAAAAAUCAUUCCUCGUACGAUAAAUAACUGGUUACAUGGUUUUUCAGUUUAUGCUAGUGUAUUAUGUGAAAAAAUUCCUGAAAAAGGUUCAUCUUUGUUCUGUUAUCUUGAACUCAUUUGGGGAGCUUAUAGAACAUAUGGGGGAGUUUGUUGGCUUAAAUAUGAUGAGCAAUUUCGUCAAAGAAUGGCGGCUAGAGCUUGUAUGCGCUGGGACUGUCAGGAUAUGAAUUUGUGGCUCUUAAUUAUGACACCUAACAGACCAGUUACUAGUUUGCAACCUGGAGCUGGGACAUCUGCAGGUACUUCAGUGACAGGAAAUAGGAGAGGCCAAUGUUGGUUAUACAAUGAAAGCCAUUGCAGAUGGUACUCGUCUUGUCGUUUUAGACAUGAAUGUUCUUUCUGUGGAGGGGCUCAUCCAGCCAUUAGAUGCUUUAAGAAGGCUAGACAAGCAGCUGCCAAGGUGCCCUCUGCUUACAAGGGCGAAGACGCCAGUGAGUGUGGAAAGGAUGUUGCCUUGGCUAAGCAGCUACCCCAAUGAACGUGAGGCCCUGAUAUUACAGUGUGGAUUUUCAGUAGGGUUCUGGAUACCGUUCCAGGAUAAUAACUUUUAUACAGAAUCUGUGAAUUUGAAAUCUGCAAGAGAACAUGAGGAGUUAGUUUGGCAAAAACUCUUAAAAGAGGUUGAAUUAGGUAGAAUGGCGGGGCCUUUUUUGCAAUCUCCAUUUUUGAAUUUAAAAGUGUCCCCUUUGGGUAUUGUUCCUAAAAAAGAACUGGGAAAAUUUCAUCUUAUUCACCAUCUUUCAUACCCUAAGGGUUCGUCUGUUAAUGAUGGGAUAGAUAAGGAAGAAUCUAAAGUCAUAUAUAAGUCAUUCGAUAUGGCUUUGGAAUUAGUUAAAAAUGCAGACGAGGGUGCCCUAAUGGCAAAAUCUGACAUACAAAUUCAGGGAUAGGUAUUUUGUGGAUAUGGCACUCCCCAUGGGGUGCUCAAUAUCAUGUUACUAUUUUGAGAUAUUUAGCUCAUUCUUGGAAUAGGUAAUAAAAGGUCAAUCAGGUCAUCAAUCAAUAUUACACUACCUUUACGAUUUCUUGUUUGUAGGCCCAAAGGAUACAGAUGUUUGUUUUACUCUUCUAAAGGAUUUUAGAAAUACAUUAUCAUUUUUUGGUGUUCCAAUAGCAGAGGAAAAAACAGAAGGGCCUAGUAAUAAGAUAAUGUUUCUAGGCAUUGAAAUUGAUUCUUGUGAAAGGAUAUUCUAUCUUCCUCAAGAGAAGUUACAGGCGGUUGGUAUUUUAGUGGACAGAACUAUAUCUGCUAAGAAGGUUACACUUAAACAUAUGCAGUCGCUACUUGGUCAUUUGGUUUUUGCAUGUAAGAUAAUGCCAAUGGGCAGGGUUUUUUGUCGCAGGCUUUCUUUAAAAACAAAAGGGAUAAAGGCAGCACAUCACUAUAUUAGAAUAACAAACGAAUUGAGGGAAGACCUUAAAACAUUUUUGGCCUAUUAUAAUGGCAAAACAUAUUGGCAGAACACGGAGAUGAGUAAUGGUGAUUUACAACUUUAUACAGAUGCAUCAGGAAGCAUAGGCAUGGGAGCAUUUUUUAAGGGGCUAUGGUGUGCGGAAAGAUGGCCGAGUUCAUGGUUGAAAUCGGAUUUGAUACGUAACCUUACAUUUUUGGAGUUAUUUCCAAUACUUGUUUCAAUUGUAUUGUGGGGUAAUGAAUUGAGGAACAGCAGGGUUAUUUUCUAUUGUGACAAUUUAAGCGUGGUUAAUGUGGUUAAUCGACAAACAGCUACUUCGUUGCCAGUUUUAACCAUAUUGAGACAGUUAGUUUUGCAAUGCCUCAAGUUUAAAGGGAUACUGUCAUGGGAAAAAAAAAAAUUUCAAAACGGUUAGUUAAUAGUGCU